UUUGGAGGUGGUAGACUUUCACUUGUUUUAAGUAUUCAAUAUUGUUUUUAUAGUUCACUACAUGCAUUUUAGAAAAAUGUUACAAACAGGUCAAAUUUCACGUUUUAUAAUAGAAUAUCCUCAAAUAGUGGAAAGUUAAACUGAAUUUUCUUACAUUGCUGCGAUUUAGUCAAUUUGCAAAAUGUAUUCACAUGUUCUCCAUAUUGAAAUGGGACAUUUAACAGUAAUGUUUGUUGCCCGGAUUUUUACUUUAGGCACUUUUAAUCUGGAUAGAUGGUAACUAUAAAUUGAAUAUGCAGACGUGUUGAAUAGGUGUUAUCAGGAUUUAGAUGACUAAAAAUAUAUGUCAGCAGUAUUUCAGACUCUUAGUCUGCAUCAUUACUCCAUACUCCAUGAUACUUUAAAGAACUUUAUUAUUGAAUGUAUUCAAUUUUGAAUUGUAUUGCUGUAUCAACAACAGGUUUUUCCUAAUGGUCAAUUUGAAAUGCUUUUUAUCAAUGACUUAGAAGUUAUACUGUAUCAGCUACAGUGAAUCUCUCAGAUUUUAUGGUGUUGAGUGUUGUGAAGAGAAUGUGCCAGAGCCAUCUAAUAUGAAGGCUAUGGUAGCUGUCUAGUCUCUUUAGCCAACUUUGACUUUCUAUUCCUCUGCUGUGUAUGUCUGAGAUUUUUGUGG
rnacentral:lncRNA from 1 species